UACGUAGGGACCGAGCGUUGUCCGGAAUCAUUGGGCGUAAAGAGCGUGUAGGCGGCCCCUUAAGUCCUGCGUGAAAUCCUGCGGCUCAACCGCAGACGGUCGUGGGAAACUGGAGGGCUAGAGUGCGGGAGAGGAGAGUGGAAUUCCCGGUGUAGCGGCGAAAUGCGCAGAUAUCGGGAGGAACACCAAUGGCGAAGGCAGCUCGCUGGGACGGUACUGACGCUGAGACGCGAAAGCGUGGGGAGCAAACAGG
rnacentral:rRNA from 1 species